UGGGGAAUCUUGGACAAUGGGCGCAAGCCUGAUCCAGCCAUGCCGCGUGAGUGAUGAAGGCCCUAGGGUUGUAAAGCUCUUUCGACGGGGAAGAUAAUGACGGUACCCGUAGAAGAAGCCCCGGCUAACUUCGUGCCAGCAGCCGCGGUAAUACGAAGGGGGCUAGCGUUGCUCGGAAUCACUGGGCGUAAAGCGCACGUAGGCGGCUUUUUAAGUCAGGGGUGAAAUCCCGGAGCUCAACUCCGGAACUGCCUUUGAUACUGAAAAGCUUGAGUUCGGGAGAGGUGAGUGGAACUGCGAGUGUAGAGGUGAAAUUCGUAGAUAUUCGCAAGAACACCAGUGGCGAAGGCGGCUCACUGGCCCGAUACUGACGCUGAGGUGCGAAAGCGUGGGGAGCAAACA
rnacentral:rRNA from 1 species